CCUGACAAGCAGCCCUGCUGCUGUGGCUGUCGCUGCUGCUGCUGCUGCUGCCCGGUUACUGCUGCUGCUGCCACCGUGCUGCCUCUAGCUGUGAAUCAGUAAUGAAGGGAUGCUGAAUUGAUGAACUAUUGAGUAUUUUCUGGAGACAAAGACCAAGUCUUACUUCAAGCUACACUGGGCUUUCCUUCCUGGUGUCCUACUCCUUGCUUUAGAGCUGAAACACUUUCCAGUAUAAAAUUAAGUCAAACUGCAUAACUGAAAAGCAGGCUGAAAAUCUCAGAAAAGGAAGACCAGAGAAGAAAAGACUAAAAACAGAAGGGAGAAAGAAGAUACUGUGGAAGGACAAGAGACAAAGGCUCUACAGAGAAGCACCUCAAGUACCAAGAAAGGAGUGGGUGAGCAGAGUCUAGUGUUGUCCAAGAGCAACAUGUAGAGAAGUCCCAUCCCAACGAUCCCCACCCUAGAGGGGUUCCCUGCAGACUCUAAUGUGUAAGUAGAGUUCAGAGAACAGUCAUUCCCUUCAUCUUUAGGACUCAAAAGUAUGACUAAUCAACUACCAGUGGGGACUGUGCCGUUGAUUUCAGGCUUGGACUGUAUCUGACAUUAAGAUAUCUCAAAACCUGCAUUUCUGAAAUUUCCAUGUAAUUCACUACCAGAUGUAAACAUAAAGAAACUAUGAUUAAGAGGGAUGGGGAAAGAUCAGGAGCAAGAGUUAGCACAUCACUGGAUAGGUAAGCAGGCAGAGUAACCUGAGGUUCUACAGGUUCUUUUUAAGAUCCCUGGAAACUUAAGUGUAUUUCAAUGCUAACUCACUUAAAUAUGUUCAAUAACAUUAGUUUCAGGUCAUUGUAAUUUAUUUACUUUUCAAGUUGAAAACUGUUGAAUAAAAAUGUAUUUUGGUUCUAUUUAGUAAGAAAAGAAAGGGCUCAAAAACUACAGGUUUAAAUACUAUCAGGGUUCUAUCGUUCAUCUUUUCAUGGAGAUUUUUGUUACUACAAAUAAACAAUGACUUAAGAUGUUGCGGGGUAAAAGAGAUUUGCAGGGUAAAAGAGAUUUGGAAGUUGGGCCUGCUGGUGCAGUCCUAUAAUCCCCACUACUCAGAAGUCUGAAGCAGAAGGACCACAAUUUCAAGGUCUACCUAAGCUAAAGAAUGAGUCAAGGCUAGCCUGUGUCAGCAAUACCCUGUCUUAAAAGUAGAAGUAAAAUGAAAGUUAGUUACACCCCAAUUUAGCUUAGUGGUAGCAUGCUUGUUUAACAUGCACAAGGCGAGGUUCAAUCCCUAGCCUCUCUACUCAAAAACAACCUGUACAUUAAGAAGGAACUAAUUUUUCUUUGUAUUAAGAAUUCUUAUGAACAAAAUAGAAACUUGUGUAUUUGUUAACAAGCAAAUUAAAAUCCCCGUCUAAAGUAGUAUGUACCUACUUCACUGGGAUACUAGAGGAACAACUAGACAUGCUUUAAGUAAUUGCACUUUCAAAUGCUUUAAGUGUCUUUCAUAAGAAACAAUUAGAUAGCUUAAGGAACAACAACCAGACUAUGGCAUGUCCCGAGCUCCAAUUCUUAGGUCAAGGAAGUACUGUGCAAACAGAAAAUUGUUUUAUUCGUUAUGUAAGAAUUUUCCUGCAUUAGUCCUCAGAAAUGAAGAGCACAAUGGGUUGCACUACUAGGACACAGAAAAGAGGUAAAAUGUCAAGUGGACAUCUAAAAAAUCAGCGCUUUUGAAUACUCUAGUGAGACAACCUAAAACAUAGGAGGCCAGAAGGUCUUUUAUGCCUCUUCUGCCUAAUACAAUGGCAGUCUUAGAACAGGCAGCUGACAGCAUGCUAGUAAUGUUAUAUAUGUACAGCUAUAAUUAAGGGGCCCUAGACAAUAAAAAGAUCAAUCUUUAUUUGGUUAAAAUGUCAAACAAUGCAGUCCCCAAAGUGAUUUAUCAUGGAGAAGUCCUGCCAGAGCAGUGAGACACAUCUGUGAUAUGAAAUUAAUAGUACUACAAAAUGAGAUACCACUGGACUAUGAAUUGAUAAGGCCUCAACCUUAGUAGGAGAGUACAUAGUGAUUUAUUUUAAUAACUUAGUUACUUUUGUCUUAAGAAAGAAAAAAAGAACCUGUUUAUUUCUGUGGAGCUAAAGGACAAAAAUAAUCAGAAUUUCUUUAAAAUUUUUUAAAUGCAAAAAUCUAUUUCUAAAUUGGCCAAAUAGAUAAGGGAUGUAUAAGACAGUACUGUAUGUGGAUGAGAACAAGGUAUGCAGUUUUUAGGAGGGUGUGUUCUUGCUAAAGUUUUCCUGCCUGGCCCACAGUCAGGACAAAUCUCUCUCACCUGCCAGUCCCACAGACGCUCAGACCUGACCAAGUAAACACAGAGACUUAUAUUGAUUACAAACUGUAUGGCCGUGGCAGGCUUCUUGCUAACUGUUCUUACAGCUUAAAUUAAUCCAUUUCCAUUAAUCUAUACCUUGCCACAUGGCUCAUGGCUUACUGGCAUCUUCACAUGCUGUUUGUCAUCGUGGCGGCUGGCAGUGUCUCUCUGACUCAGCCUUCCACUUCCCAGCUUUAUUCUCCUCCUUGUCCUGCCUAUACUUCCUGCCUAGCCACUGGCCAAUCAGUGAUUUAUUUAUUGACCAAUCAGCAGCACAUUUGACAUACAGAACAUCCCACAGCAGUGUGUCAUCCACAAACACACUCCAAUAAAGCCCACCUGCUAAGAUACUGUUGUUCUUCAAGACUUAAAAAGAAGAGUCCAGAAAUUUAUCAGCUAAACUUGGCUAUGUAUAAAACAGAAUAAUAAAUGCAAGUAGCUUCUCUCACACAAGUCUCAUUUAGAAAUAGAUCUUGUUGCUACUAUAUGACACAAUAUAAUUAAUCUAUAAAUAAGAGGCUAUUACUACUAACAACUGCAUUGGAAAUCUUUCAGUAAGAACUAGUUAAGAAGUAUUUUUACAACCCAACUUCCUGAGAAUGGGAAGUACUCAAAUACUCCACACAGCUUUUCAGGUAGUCAUUAAAAUGACUAGUACAGGUCAAGCUUGCAUGUCGUCUUUAUUAAAAAUGCUACCUAUAAAUGGAAUGACAUAGAAUACAGUAAACAGUUUAACUUUAAGGAUCAAACUAUAAUUGUAAAGAUUAAAUCCUGUUUUGUAAUUGUUCCACUCCCUAUAUAAAAUAUAGCUUGUCUUUGUGAUGCAAGAGAAUUUUACUUAAUAAAUAUAUUUAUCAAAUACCACUUUCUAAUGUAAUCAACACUAGGAAUUUUGCUUUAUGAGCUAUGUUAACACUAGAACUGGUUUCCUCUGUCAAAUCCAAAAUAUCCCUUCUCAGGUACUUUGCCUUCAUAUACAGCUCCUGGAAGGAGGAUUAAAGGUCAUGUGAUUUGCCUAGUUCAAUUCCCUACACAGGAUACAAUUCCCACAGAUGGGCAACUGGCCUAAGGUGACCCAUCUCUGUGACUUACGACUAUUCUGGCAUAUCCGAAGACACGUCAGAUCAGUCAGGUUUAGUCUCAGAAAUUUUAUCUAAAAGAUACAUAAGGAGAUUGUUAAGGGUAAUCCAAUGUGUUGGAGGUGAAAUGCCAUUCAUACCUUCUGAUACGUGAGACAUCCAAAAAUUAGAACUACAAAUGGGGAGGCCAAAAGACAAGAACAUCUGAUUUACAGCAUGGUCACCUGUAGUUACUUGGAUGCCUGCCCUUCCUGGGAACUACAUUUUCUCUAUGUUCACAAUAAAUCUUCACUGUACUUGAGUUACUACCUAGGUUUCUUUUUCGUAGAAAUCUUAACUGAAAUGGAAGGAAUCUCUAAGGUCUUAACUUACUGUUUCUCUUGUAAAACUUGAAGUAAGUUAUUUUUCAGCCUGUAGAAUUUAAAUGAAGAUGAUAAAAACACUUUUGCCCACUAUUUCUUCAUCCCUAUUUUCCUCCAAUAGAUGUUUAUAUGUGUAUGUCAAGUUAGACACAAGGUAUUCAGUAGUACACACACACAAAACUACUCUACCUUUUGAGCAUUUGUAAUCUAGCAGGGGAAAUAGGCAUUUGGAAAGCAACACAGGGUAGGCAUGGUGACAUACACCUUUACUCCCAGCACUCAAGAGGUGGAAGCAGGUGGAUCUCUGAGUUCCAGGCCAGACAGAGACUCUGUCUCAAAACAAACAAAAAUUGUGAGCACUUAUUGAAAGCUUCUUAGAGGAAGGAGCACUUCCCUUUAGACAGGAAGCAGUGUGGCUAAGGAGUGAGGACAGUGAUGGAGGCACAAGAAAAAAACUUCAAAGCUGCAAAACCUAGAAGAGGCAGGCAGUCUUGAAGUGCAGUAGGAAAGACUGACUAGUAUGCUGUUGAGAGGGAAGGGAAGGCCACCAGCCAGUGAAAAUGUGUUGUGGAGUGAGAAACAGUAGAAGGGGUUUCAGCACAAAAGCAACACAACCCGAGGUGUGUUUUGGAAAGUUUUCCUGGAUUCCCCAAAGCACGUUGGUAUUAAAAACAAACAAAAACCAGGACAGGUGGGAAGGACAUUUAGGAAGUUACUAAACAGAAGAUGAUUUAGAGGAAGAAGGAAGGUUUAAGAUCUACUGAGGUAGAUAAAUUGAUAUCCACUGAUAAACCAAUGAGUGUAACAUUGUUUCCAGAUAUAUUCAGUUAUACAUUGUUCUGAUUCAUAGACAUGUAAUAAAGUACUGGCAUGUGAAAAAUGAUUAACAUUUAGCUCUGUAUAAUGGCUCCUUUGAGGGAGGCCUAUGUACAGUCAGAAAGAAAUACCUAUAAAGCUUCUAAAUGUAUUCAUCUCUUAGCUAGACACACAGAUACAUAAGAGUUCAGUGUACAUUUUAAUACUUUUUUCAUGUUUCAAAUAUUUAAUUAUAAAUUUAAAAGAAUAUGCUUACUUUACUCAAUCCAUGUGUACCUACUUUAAUCAUGAUGAGGUUUUUUUUUUUCCAUUUUUGCAACAACAAAAAAAUACUACAGAGUAACUCUAUUUAUUCCAGGUAGGAAGUAGGAGAUUUUUAUGAGAAUAAUAAAAACAAUCUGACACUUUAUAACUUAAAUCUUAUUCUAAGCAUGAGCACUAAUAUACAACCAACACUGAAUUAUUGAACACACUCAAAGUAUUCUGGCUCUUCAAAAUAAUAUGAUGCAGAUUUCACCAAAGCAAAAUAACAUUCCUGUCAUCAGCAAUGAAUGUGCAGCUUUAUGUAAAGUGCCAAGUGCUUACUCUCCUACUGUUCAUUUUUCAUAAUUUUCCACUCUACAUUUUCAAUUUAAUGAUACUAAAAUUGACCUUAAAUAUCCUCAAGAGUAUCAACACCAGCUUCUACAAUAAUCACCAGAAAGACAUUGUAAUCUGAGCACUGUCAGAAUUGAGUAUGUAAUAGUAACAUUCCCUAAUCAUUCCACAAGGUCACAGCAGCAACAUUCCCUAGUAAUGAUUCCAAGAUGCUCCUGGAGGAACAGAAGGGAUAAAUCCAACCACUCUUCCUUUCACUACAUUAAAAGAAUAACUUGCCCUGAACUAUCCACCAGCACAUCCUAUUGCCUCUACCUUUAAAAUGUGCCCCAUACAACCAAUUCUCACCACCUCCACUGCCACUUCUGUGGUCCAAUCAACCAUCAUCUUCUACCCUGAUGCCUGCCUCUGCCUUCUAACUAGUCUCCCAUUGCCCCCCCCCCCAAUGCACCACACUGUUUUCAAUACUGUAACAUAAAGUGAUUCAGGACAGAAUGUGUAACAGUACAUGCCAGCUCUGUUGUAUUUUUUUCCUCCCUUUAUUUUUCUCCACCAUACUUUCUCAUCAAUAUACAGUAUGGUCUACUUAGUUAUUUGUUUAUUGCCUGAGUACUACAAGGACAAAAACAUCACGAAGACAAGAGCUUUGUCCAUUUUUUCCUUUACUUGUUGUGGGAUCACACUGUGAACCCUGAGUUUACAUUUGCAUUAAUUAAAUAAAAAUCAACCUUGGGUCAGGAGGAGCCAGAAACUAGUUGACAGAAAGUAAUUAUAGAGAGUCAGAGGGAGUCUGGAAGAUGGAUAGAGAGACACACAAAAAGUAUUAGUGAGGGACUUUGAGUGUGGUGGUCAUUUUUUGGUUUGGCAGAGCAGAAGAAUGUUCUCUUGCUCUCUUUCUGAGAUGGUAGCAAAGAGGGAAGGUCAGCUAGUUGCUCCUCAACCUCUGAGCUUGCAGGUUUUCACCCCAGCCACUGAUUCCUGGGUCUUAUUGAUAAACAGAAUGACAGAGAUUUAGUUAAAAACUAUAUUUGAUGGUAGUGGCAGGAGGUGGAUCUGGCAGGACAUAAAAGUCAGGCCACUACCUGAGAAUUGGGCCAGUAACUGCAGAACUGCAAUUACUGACUGAAAUAGCAGUAGAUUCAGGUGCAGCCACUGUGUCAAUAGAAUAACAUUGACUGUUACAUGUCCAAAUAUAACAGUGUCAGGCAUUUAGAUUUAAAUUUAUUCCUAGUAAUUUAUUUAGUUUAAUAAAUGUCCUUUAAGUCACAAGAUGCAUAAACACUGAUUCUUCCAUUUUGACUUGUGAUUUCUGCUCCCCUCUCUAAUGUCAAAAGUAAUGAAAACAUAAGAAAGGAGUAGUUACCUGAUUUGAGAACCAUUAAGAUCCUUGCAUAUGGGGAGGAGUUAGUUGAGGCCCAGUAAUGGGAUCACAUUUACUUUUACAUAACACUUGUUAAUUAUACACAUUCAAUGGGAGCCAGUGUGAUAUUUCCACAUAUGUGCAUAGUGUACACUGGUCAUAUCUAAUCACCCUUCUUUAACCCUGCCUCCCACAGAUCUAGUACCUUUCCCAGUUACUAGUUACUACUAUUCUACUCAUAGGUCAUUUUUUUUUAAAGUUUCCACAUAUGAAAGAACACACGAUAUUUGUCUCUGUCUGGCCUAUUUGGUUAACAUGAUAACUUCUACUUCCACCCAUUCUGCUGCAAAUGGCAGGAUUUCUUUAUUUUUUAUGGUUGAAUAAUGCCUUGUUAUAUGUACACUCUAUUUCACUUACCAAUUUACUUGACAGACAUGUUGGUGAUCUUGUAUUUUAGCUACUGUAAAUAUGUCUGCAAUAAAAAUGUGCAAACAGGUA